rnacentral:lncRNA from 1 species
CAAUAAUUUAAUUAUAAUUUCACAAAACUAAUCUUUACAACUCUUAAAAGUCGACAACCGGAAGUUCUUUGGUGAGGGAGAUGUCUGGACUGCCGACUGUCAGUGAAUUUGAUUUUUCCUUUUCAAACCGUCGACAAAGAAAGAGAGGAAGAUAGAGGAGUAUUUUUGGAAAGGUGUCUUUAAAUUAUGUGUUUUUUUUUUUUUUUUUUAAAUAAGUCAAAGGUCAAAGUGAAAAUAAGGUGGAUCAAAUGGCAAUUUUCACUUAUUUCCUCUAUUUUCUAUCUCAUUGAAUCACGUCUCCACCUCUCUUCUGGCCGAUUCAUUACUAUUUUUUUUCACCUCUUUUUGUUGAUUUAACCACAGAUUCAUCCCCAAGAUAUCCAUCUAUUCUCUGUUGAUUUUACCACAGGUUAAUCCCCAAGAUUUCCAUCUAUUUUUGUCUAUUAUAUUCUUCUAUAUGUUCUACAGAUUCCAUGUGAAAUUUAGGAAUAAAAUGUUAGCAUCGACGAUUUGAAUCAGUGGAGAAUCUGGAGAUUGUUUCUCCUUCACUUCAUUAAUAAGGUAUUUUUUUUCUCUUUUUUUUUUUGUAUUUUUAAAUUGGAUCGUCGCAGUAGAGGACUCUCUGCAAAUCUGUGCUUCAUUGCUUUUCUGUUUUCUCCACAUAUUUUCCCUUCUAUUAUGUGUGUUUUUGCAGUGUGACUUGAUCUUGUAAUAGUGUCAUUUAUGGGAUUAAUUUUAUUUUUUUAGAUGAUUAUUCUUGUAUUUUGAAAAAUAUUUAUUUUGAGACAAAAGAAAUUAUGAAGUAUUUUAAAGUCUUGUGGCUUCUUAUUGAUAGGGGUGUUUGAUUUUGUUGGUAAUUAUUAAAAACUGGCGUGAGUAUAGUCACUAUACAAGAUUUGUUUAUAUAUUCAAUGGCUACCUCGUGUUUCAAUCUGUUUCGACCGUGCAGGUCUAAGAGCAAAUCUUUAUUAAUUCCUUCUACUUCGAGUCUCGAGAACACAGUUAAGCAAUGAUGCAAAUAAUAUGGAGAGGAAAAGAUUUGACAGUUAGGAAUCUUGGUCAAUGAUAUUGGAUUCUGAGAAUGUUUGAGACUUGGGAAGCAUCUGAAGAUCAAGAGGAAUGGACGACUGAUCUUUCUCAGUUAUUUAUCGGCAAUACGUUUGCUUCUGGUGCACAUAGUAGAAUUUACAGAGGAAUUCAUAAGCAGAGAGCAGUUGUUGUAAAAAUGGUGAGAAUUCCAACUCAUAAUGAGGAAGCUAGAACUUUACUUGAACAACAAUUCAAUUCGGAAGUUGCCCUUCUUUCACAUCUUUAUCAUCCCAAUAUAGUGCAGAUUAGAUUUCCUUAUAUCUUUGUGAAUAAUGAAAAUCAUACAUUUUAGAUAAACUAGUCAUUCUGGAACAACACACAAAAUUUCAACUUCUUUUUCGUACUUAAUCCUGUCAAUUCCAACCUGCCAAACAUGUCUUUAAUAUAGUAAUUUAGACUUUGUUUUGAUGCACUUUUGACAAUAAUAGUAUUUCAACAACUAGUCAAUACCAUUACCAGCAAAUGAUUUUGACAAAAUUAAUUUAGCUUGCAUUUAGUUCACGUUUUCUUAGUGUCAAAGUUUGAUCAGAUUGGUGGAUUGACCUCUAGGGCAACAACCUAACGGAGAAGCUCUACUGUUAUGGUUUUAGAUGAUUAUAAAGCAUAAAAUCUUCACAACUAGCAAUUUAAACAUUUAAAAUUUCAUUUGCCCAUUGCAAUGUGGAAAUUUUGGACUUGGUUUAUAUUGCUCCCCUUCACAUGAUAAUGUGGGCAAGUGUUUGAAGCUCCACCACCAACAACAUCGUAAGUUGUUAUCUAAGAUUAGUAAUAGUAUUUCUGUCACUUGCUUGAGUUGUUUUGUCAUACUAAGUUAUGCAAAUGCUGUUUGAUAGAAUAUUAAGCACUAUUGAAGUACACAUAAUUGAGUUUUUCAUCUUUAAGGAUAUUUAAGAGCUUUUACUUCUUGUCAGCAUAGUUUCCAAUGACAAGUAUGGUUUGGUUUCUUCCAUCACUCUUCCUAGGUUGCAACCAGAUAAUCAUAAUAUGUUGGUUUCAUGCUCCUUGGGUUGUCAAUUUGGUUCUGGUCCCGUCUUGUUUCAAGGUAUGUCGAUUUCCCAUUUGGCUUUUGUGAUUUGGUACGAUAACUUUGGUGUUUAUUGGUCUUGGGAGUGGCACUGGCACUUGUAUUCUAAUCCAACAUUAUGGUAGCAUUGAUUUUUGCUCAUAUCAAUUUCCUUCACUAAUUAGAGUUUUGACUUUUUUUUAGUUUACAUUAUUUUUACAAUUUAACAAGUGUUUCACUUUGUUAAGUUCCAGAUUUAAAUGCAUCGNUCG